AUCGUUGUUGUGUUUUUUUUAUUUUUUUUUUUAUUUUUUUUUUUUUUUUGAGACAGAGUCUCGGUCUGUCGCCCAGGCUGGAGUGUAGUGGCGCAGAUACAAUAAUUGUUGCACAUUUUACACUAUGUAACUACUGACUAUAUUAUCCUGACAUUAAAGUGUUGAUGUCGGCCAAAAGUUGAUUUUCCCAGAUAGUGACUGCCACAUUCACUGUAGGUCCUUUCCUUUCUGCUGUAUAAUUUAGAUUCUUAACACUAAGGAACAUUGCCUAAAGGAGCACUUGCUCUUAAGUUCUCGAAGGAUGCUACAGCUCCUGAAGGAUGCUGUCUGCUGUACAGUUUUACUUGAAUAUACAACAGGUGGCUCUAAAUCACUAUGCAUCAAACUAUGUUCUUUAUCUCUUCCCCCAAACUUGAAGUGCUUUCUCAAGUAUCAGUUAAUGAGUUGACAUUAGCUAAGUUUACUUCCUUUCCUUCAGCACCUCCCUUUCCGUCAUCCAUCCUCCAUAAUAUCUCUAGCUUUCAACACCUUGGACUAGCUACAUAAUUCAUGAGGCCAGUGCAAAAUGAAAAUUUGGAACUCCUUGUUCAACACUACUAAGAAUUUCUAGACUGUGACAAAGAGAACAUUCAACCAAAUGUGGACCCUUGUGAGCGUGGGUCUCUGUGCAGCUGCUCAGACUGCUCAUCCAUGAAGCCAGCAUUUCUGUCACCUCUUUCUCUAAUUUUCUGAGGACUCUUGUCCUCCACUCUUGAAAAUCCUUUCUCUGUCAUCCUUUUCUGUAUUCUCUCCUCACCCUCACAGUCUAUCUCUUACAUCAGGGUUUUUCAAUCUCAGCACUAUUGACAUAUUAGACUAGACUGGAUAAUGUUUUUAUAAUUUCAACUUUCAUUUUAGAUUAAAGUGUACAUGUGCAUGUUUGUUACAUGAGCACCUAGCAUGAUGCUGAGGGUUGGGGUACGAAUGAUUCCAUUCCAGGUACUAAGAAUAGUACCCAAUAGGUAGUUUUUCAGCCCUUGCUCCUCUCCUUCUCUGCCCCAUCUAGUUGUCCUCUGUGUCUGUUGUUCCCAUCUUUAUGUCCAUGUGUACUCAAUGUUUAGCUCCCACUUACACGUGAGAACAUGCGGUAUUUGGUUUUCUGUUUCUGCAUUAGUUCACUGUUAAUGGCCUCCAGCUGCAUCCAUGUUCUCCAAAGGAGAUGAUUUUGUUCUUUCUUACAUCUGUGUAGGAUUCAUAGUGUAUAGGUAUGACAUUUUCUUUAUCCAAUCCACCACUGACAGGCACCUAGGUUGAUUCCAUGUCUUUGCUAUGGUGAAUAGUGCUGUGAUGAACAUGUGAGUGCAUGUUGGUCUGGAUAAUUCUUUGUUGUGAAGGACUAUUCUGUGCAUGUAAAAAUGUUUAGCAUUAUCCUUAGUCUCUGCUUACUAGAUUACCAGCACCCUUCUCCUUCCCCAGUUGUGAGAAUCAAAAACAUCUCCAGGCAUUCCCAUAUGUCCACUGAAGGGCAAAAUUGUCCCCUAUUGAAAAUCAUUGCUCACAUUAUCAGACUGCUCUUUACAAAACAUCGAGAUGGUCAUGCUACCCCAGGCUCACAGGUUUUGAAGAACUCUAUCGAGGAUAAUUAUAGGAUGAAUUCCAACUCUUCAUCAUAGUAUUCAGGGUUGUCAUAACAUGGCUUUGUGUAUCUCGCUAGCUCAAAUUUAGCCUAUUUAUUUUCCUUAAGCUUUAUAUUCCAUCCAUGCAAAAUGGCUUAAUGUUUUAUUUACACACUUUUUAAUAUUUUUGUAACUCUGCUUGCUCUAAUAUCUUUGAUUACAUUAUCCUGCCAUACAUCUCUCCUCUCAUCUCCCAAUUCCUGAUUUAUUGACCCUUACGGUUAAUCUAGAGGAGCAUUUUCUUCUGAUGAAGUGUUGCCUGUCCUUACACUAUUCCACGCAGAACUGACUAUUGCUUCCUCUCUGUCCUGCGUUGUACCUACACGUGUAUUGUCCCGGCAUGCUGUUGCUAAAUUGAGGUAAUCAAGAGAAGAUGAAGUUUUCAGUUCUUCAAAGCAUUUCCAAAAAUUGAAAGACUGAUUCCAUCUUUAGUAACAUUACACUGAGGAACUCCAACUUCCCUUGGAGCUUAUGUUUCUAUAUGGCAAGUUUCAAAUAGAAAAACUCCUGUUAUGUCUGCAUGUCAGUCAUAAAUUGUGGUUAUCCUUGGUUUUCUACAUGCCUAAUUCAGUAUUCUAGUCUAUAUGCUUAAAGGCUGGGGAAUGUUCAUUGUACUUAUUUAUAUCUCUGACAUAUAGCAUACUGCUUAAC
rnacentral:lncRNA from 1 species